rnacentral:lncRNA from 1 species
GUUAAAACUGAUGUAAGUUAAAGCUGUAAUGAAUGUUCAUUAUAUUGUAUGCUGUCAUUGGAUCAAUGAGGAAGAACCUGGACAGGAAACUGUAACUAAUCCACUUGUGAAGUAUUCCCUUUUUACUUCCAAUUCUCAGGUGUCCUACAUUAGCCAAGACUGUGAAGAAAUUCCAGAAUUCCUGGGAAGAAAAUACGGACAUAUGGCAAAAAGGCUAGAUCUUAGUUUCAACUUGUUAAGGAAAUAUGACUGAAGUAAUACAUAAAUGCAUGACAGAAAUGUUACCAACUGCCAAUUUCUUCGAGGUGUGGUUGCCCCCCCGCCCCCAGCAAAGAAAAACAACAAGCGAAAGCAGCAGCAAGAAGCUCACAUACCUCAAUAAGAAAAAGACUGGUAUUUCCUGAGAACUUUGGUGUUGCUCUUCGUCUACUUUAUGUGGGUACAUGUAUAGUUCAUAGCAUUAGUGACUGAUUGAACGGAUAACAAUCCGUAAUACCAAAUGGUUAUACAGUCCAGCAGAUUACACAAUCAAUAACGCACAUACUGCUUGAAUCUAUAAUAAUUUUUGCAACAGCUUCUAAUAAUUUAUUAAUGCUUUAUAUACUAUAUCUAAUAUUUUAUCUUUGUAUAUGACUAAAAAGAGGGAUGUUGAUCAUUUUUAAAUCCUA